rnacentral:lncRNA from 1 species
GAGUGUGUGUGUUGGGGACAGCCAGGUCCCUUGGGUGGAGCUGAGUAGGAUUGCCCAGAGUGGGAGGAAGAGGUGGUUUGGGGAGAGCAGCACUCUGGGGCCUUCAUGGAACAGGUACCUGUGUAGCCAGGAAGAUGGGCCGAGGUUGUUGACAUCUCUUUCAGAUGCCCAAGACCUUGUGGGAGCCAGAGCAUCUCCCAAGAGCAUGGAGAGCUUGUUCAUGAACCUGGUCUGGUUGGUUUGGCUCUGGCUUUGACCAAAGACAUGCUUAGUGCUAAUCCCACACUCCUGGCUCAGAUGGAAGGACAGUCCACUUUUCUCUUCCACUGCUAGAGGCCUGCAAAGCAAGGACCUGAGGCUCCCCAUGGCUGGGCAGGCCCCAGGAACUGACAUGAUGAGUGACACGAGUUCUGGAAGCUUGGAGGUGAGCCCUGGUAGCCAGGAGACUUCAUUUGCUACCG